rnacentral:rRNA from 1 species
GAUGAACGCUGGCGGCGUGCCUAAUACAUGCAAGUCGAGCGAACAGACGAGGAGCUUGCUCCUCUGACGUUAGCGGCGGACGGGUGAGUAACACGUGGAUAACCUACCUAUAAGACUGGGAUAACUUCGGGAAACCGGAGCUAAUACCGGAUAAUAUAUUGAACCGCAUGGUUCAAUAGUGAAAGACGGUUUUGCUGUCACUUAUAGAUGGAUCCGCGCCGCAUUAGCUAGUUGGUAAGGUAACGGCUUACCAAGGCGACGAUGCGUAGCCGACCUGAGAGGGUGAUCGGCCACACUGGAACUGAGACACGGUCCAGACUCCUACGGGAGGCAGCAGUAGGGAAUCUUCCGCAGUGGGCGGAAGCCUGACGGAGCAACGCCGCGUGAGUAAUGAAGGUCUUCGGAUCGUAAAACUCUGUUAUUAGGGAAGAACAAAUGUGUAAGUAACUAUGCACGUCUUGACGGUACCUAAUCAGAAAGCCACGGCUAACUACGU